UGCUUCCAGGAAAAGCCUCUAAGCAUCAGGUAACAUCAAAUCGUACCCCAAACCGACACAGGUGGUCAGGUAGAGAAUACCAAGGCGCUUGAGAGAACUCGGGUGAAGGAACUAGGCAAAAUGGUGCCGUAACUUCGGGAGAAGGCACGCUGAUAUGUAGGUGAAGUCCCUCGCGGAUGGAGCUGAAAUCAGUCGAAGAUACCAGCUGGCUGCAACUGUUUAUUAAAAACACAGCACUGUGCAAACACGAAAGUGGACGUAUACGGUGUGACGCCUGCCCGGUGCCGGAAGGUUAAUUGAUGGGGUCAGCGCAAGCGAAGCUCUUGAUCGAAGCCCCGGUAAACGGCGGCCGUAACUAUAACGGUCCUAAGGUAGCGAAAUUCCUUGUCGGGUAAGUUCCGACCUGCACGAAUGGCGUAAUGAUGGCCAGGCUGUCUCCACCCGAGACUCAGUGAAAUUGAACUCGCUGUGAAGAUGCAGUGUACCCGCGGCAAGACGGAAAGACCCCGUGAACCUUUACUAUAGCUUGACACUGAACAUUGAGCCUUGAUGUGUAGGAUAGGUGGGAGGCUUAGAAGUGUGGACGCCAGUCUGCAUGGAGCCGACCUUGAAAUACCACCCUUUAAUGUUUGAUGUUCUAACGUUGACCCGUAAUCCGGGUUGCGGACAGUGUCUGGUGGGUAGUUUGACUGGGGCGGUCUCCUCCUAAAGAGUAACGGAGGAGCACGAAGGUUGGCUAAUCCUGGUCGGACAUCAGGAGGUUAGUGCAAUGGCAUAAGCCAGCUUGACUGCGAGCGUGACGGCGCGAGCAGGUGCGAAAGCAGGUCAUAGUGAUCCGGUGGUUCUGAAUGGAAGGGCCAUCGCUCAACGGAUAAAAGGUACUCCGGGGAUAACAGGCUGAUACCGCCCAAGAGUUCAUAUCGACGGCGGUGUUUGGCACCUCGAUGUCGGCUCAUCACAUCCUGGGGCUGAAGUAGGUCCCAAGGGUAUGGCUGUUCGCCAUUUAAAGUGGUACGCGAGCUGGGUUUAGAACGUCGUGAGACAGUUCGGUCCCUAUCUGCCGUGGGCGCUGGAGAACUGAGGGGGGCUGCUCCUAGUACGAGAGGACCGGAGUGGACGCAUCACUGGUGUUCGGGUUGUCAUGCCAAUGGCACUGCCCGGUAGCUAAAUGCGGAAGAGAUAAGUGCUGAAAGCAUCUAAGCACGAAACUUGCC
rnacentral:rRNA from 1 species